rnacentral:rRNA from 1 species
GACGAACGCUGGCGGCGUGCUUAACACAUGCAAGUCGAACGGAAAGGCCCUGCUUGCAGGGUACUCGAGUGGCGAACGGGUGAGUAACACGUGGGUGAUCUGCCCUGCACUUCGGGAUAAGCCUGGGAAACUGGGUCUAAUACCGGAUAGGAGCCAUUUUUAGUGUGAUGGUUGGAAAGUUUUUUCGGUGUAGGAUGAGCUCGCGGCCUAUCAGGUUGUUGGUGGGGUAAUGGCCUACCAAGGCGGCGACGGGUAGCCGGGCUGAGAGGGUGGACGGGCACAUUGGGACUGAGAUACGGCCCAGACUCCUACGGGAGGCAGCAGUGGGGAAUAUUGCACAAGGGGCGCAAGCCUGGUGCAGCGACGCCGCGGGGGGGAUGACGGCCUUCGGGUUGGAAACUCCUUUCGCUAGGGACGGAGCUUUUUGUGACGGUACCUAGAUAAGAAGCACCGGCUAACUACGUG